GCUGUUUUUGUUAAGGUGGGAUGGCUACUUUUCUGUGUAUUCAUCUUCUGCAGGCUCAAUUCUCUUCUGCUGGGAUCCACCAGGUGAACAUCUGUUUUAUGAGCUCUACUCUGGCAGCCCCUUCUCCUCAUCAUUCAGAUGAUGAACUGCCUCUGCAUUGUGAAUGAUGGAUGAAUCCCGGAGCUCCUGCUGUGAGCCUUCCUGGAUGAAGAGCUCAGCUUUUCUGCUGUGAUUAUCAGAUUCCUCCUAGGCAUGCAAGCCUUCCAAAUGAAGCAGAGCACAAUGAACAUGUCCACCUAUAUGGGAGAUGCACAAGAAGAGUGGGAUGCAUUGAGAGUGUGAACUGCUCCAUAAACAAGUAGAUCAUCACCAAAGGCCUGUUCUUUUCCUUUACAGAUGUGCACUUAGUUCCUGGAGCAUCCAUUCAUCCAAGAGCUAUGUACUUCAAUGUUCCUUACAACAAGGUGGGGAGGCCACAUGCCUUAUUCCCAUCAACUGAGCAUGAGUAGAAAUGCUGUAUGCUUCUUUGAUGCAGAGUUUGUGAGAAGCAGGCAUGGAUCCUCCACCCACUGCAGCUCUGAGACCCGGUGUGAGCCUAUGAUUGGGGGCCAGAAAUGUCAUUGGCCUGUCAUGCAGAUGAAUGAUGCCCCUGGAGCAGUACAGAAAGCAAGUGCAGGACCAUACCCAGGGGUUCUCCUUCUGUGUUCCAACCUGCAUCACCUCUCACCAGGAUCCAAGAGCAAGCACCCAACACUUCCUGCUAUUUCAUCUCUGUUCCCAAAAGACCUCCAUUCUUCACCUAACAACCACCAAGGGUGAUGUUUUUGAAAAUCUGCACCUUAAGUAAUGUUGUCAUACAAUUGAAAUUCCCUCAAUAGUUUCCCAGCUCUCUUCACAUAAAAUCCAC
rnacentral:lncRNA from 1 species